AUUGAAAGUUGUUAUUAUGGCUUGGAAUGGCAAACGUCCACCAGCUACUGGUUAAUGACAAAUGUGUUCCCUGACUAGAAACAGAUCCUUGUAUCGUUUUCUCUGCACAGUUGCACUGUGUCCUGGCUUUAUGCAUCGUGUUUGGCGCUAUUUCAGUCUUUCUCUGCUGGACGACACUCUUCAAGGAUUUCUUGUCAAGAAAAUUCAUCAUGCCAGUUGUUUUUAUGGACAACAGUGUUUAGUCACUUGAUCACAGCUCCCUUACAUUGAAUGGCAAGGGGUGACCUUGCCAAUGAAUGAGUAUAGCGUCUUUGAUGGAAAGCACUGCAGGGAGAGAACAACAACUGGGAUGUGAGGUAAUUUUGUGGGGUUUUGUUGUGGUUUACUUUGGUUUUGUUUUUCUGUUUCAUUUGUCACAUUUUGGAUAUUUGGAAGCAUCAAGUGUACUUAAAAAGUAACGGUGUUUUUCUCCAUCCAUUUCCAAGGGCCAUCUCACUUAAGGUCAAGCAUAUUAGUUGUACUUAAAAAGUAACGGUGUUUUUCUCCAUUCAUGUCCAAGGGCCAUCUCACUUUAGGUCAAGCAUAUCAGCGAAAAGUUUGCCAAGAGAGUCUGGAGACCUGUGAUGAAAAGCAGAAUUUAUUUAUUACUAGUGGCUUCUAGUGUCAUUUCAGACUGUCUCAUGCUCAUCAUAUAAACAACCCCUUGCAUUUACUCAGCU
rnacentral:lncRNA from 12 species